CAAUCACAAGGCAAACAGAGAAACACAAUCGAUGCCUCUCAGCCUCAAGAAAUAUGAUCCUGCACCUGGACUCCAGUACCUCCAUGAACGAGCAAAAAGAGAGACAGUGUGCCUUUAAGGGAUAACUCCGAGGAAGAAGAAAAGCUGCAAAGAAGGAAGGAGAGGAGGUGUGUAUGUGUACGUGUGCAUGUCAAACUGAUAGACACUUGGGAGAGAGACAGAGAAAGAAAGAGAGAGAGGGGAAAGUGAGAUAAGGAGAAAGAAAGACAAAGAGAGACUCAACAUUGCAUUAGGCACUAAGAGCCAUUCCUCGCUCGCUAAAGGCUAAUGCAAUUGCCACAAUAAGAGUGUCUCAGUGGAGGCUGUAAAAAAGAAAAACUAGAGAGGGGAAUGAAAGAGGAGAGGCAGGGAGGGAGUGAAGGAGGGAGGGAAGAAUGGAGGGAGGGAUAGAGAAGAGGGAGGGAGGGAAGAAGGAGAACUGGCAGCUCUGCUUCCAGACUCUCAUAUGGACAGUGGAUCUCUUGGGACAACUGGUUGAAAGUCUCUCUCUGUCUCUACUGUUACUCCUAGCUGUGUGUGAGUGGCUGAGUGGGUCGCUGCUCUGCUGUGUCUCCAGAGUGAUUUAUCAGGUUUGCAGGGAGGAAAGACAGAGGGGGGGGGGGGGACAACUCCGGUAGCAGGCAGGCAGCAGUUACCAGCCAGCUGGCUGGGUGUGUUAACUCCACAUCUGACCUCUAUGGGAACAGAGCAGCCUCCACUCCUCUACUCCUGGCAGGCGGUGGGAACAAGGGUGGACAGAUCUUCGUUUUUAUCCUCCUCUCCCUCGCUUCUUUCCUGGGCUGUUGAGCUCAGGGAUCCGACCCUGGACAGAGCAGGACAUGACAGGACAGGACAGCUUUGGCAGCGAGACCUCAGUGGGAGACCUGGGCUCUGAGGAUUGCUCUGCCGACUGAUUCUUGGAUCUGAAACGGCACAGUUGGCACGGUCAGGUUGACAGUCGGGCAGCCGUGCAGUUGUCUAGUCAGUCAUUAGGCAGUCAGAUGGUUAGUUAGUCAGCCAUUAAAUCGGUCAGUGGGGUCCUCCCCAAAGGGUCAACUCUUCCACUUUGUGCAUAUCCUCAUCUGAACUCUGAGGUGACUCAGACCUACCGAGUAGCAAAAGCGGACCUGUGGGCAUGGUCACAGGUGCACCACAGCUGCUGUUGGAAGAAAUCAUCUGGAGCCCAGGAGGAUAUUGGAAGAAGAUACAGCGGGCCAGGGAAGGGCAAGGAAGGGCAGAAAGGUGAAGAGGUGGAUCCAGCCUCUGCCCCAGCUGUGGUGGGGAGGGUUCCUGGCACCGUGAUUUGAUGCACAAAGAGAAACCAAAAUCACAUUGCCAGGGAUUUCCACUCCUUCACAGCUCAGCAGAUGACCCAGGCCGCAUCGUUAUGUUUCCACUGUGGGAUGCUUUUUGUGUAGUCUCCUUCCAUCUUCUGUUUUCUCGGUUUAUAUCUGACACGGGAUGUUGCUAAGGAGUCAGAGGAGUAAAUAUUGGAGAGGUCAGACGGAUAUUAUGAUCAAAACUCUCAGUGGACUUCAAGAGGUUAACUUGUGGAAUCAGAUUGUCGCACAGAAAACUGCAAAAGAGUAUGUGUCUCAGAUGAAAAGUGUCUAAAUGCAUUUCAGGCUACAGUUAAAUGCACAGCUGUCUGAAAUUUAAACUGUCUUCGCUAUGCAGUCCUUUCAAAUCAGCCAGGAAGUCGAUGUAAAUGCAUAUGAGAGCCAUACAGCUUUACACGAUAGAGCAAAUUUUUACAGGCAGCUCACGUUUCAGCUCUUGGAUUUUAGAUUUAUAAACAAGGAGACGAUUUUGAUGUUUAAAAUGAAAGCUAGGAUCCUCCACUGGCAGCACACUCUGAAACACUAUACGAAUGAGCCCCACUAAAGGCGAAGCAAACCUCAACAUCAUAAGCAUUGCAGACUUUGAAACCCGCCAAACUUUACCACUGAGCCAUCACGUAAAGGUCUGUGUGAGUCUCUGUUCCCUCAAAAGCCAGCCACCCACUUGCUAAAGGCACAGAGCUUAGCUAAUUGGUGAGCAUUGAUCCCUGCUAUGUGUUGUUCACAGUGGCUAAGUUCAGUGCCUGAGGUGAAAUAGUUGAUUCGAUGGAGGGGAUUUGUUCCGGUGAAUGGAGAGAACCUGAUGAUCUUGGAUAUGAAGAAAAGAGGAGGGAGAAGGAGACGAGAGGAGUGACGAGAAGAUUAGGUGGGGAGGGAGGGAGGUAGGCAGAGAAGGGAGAAGUGGGAAGAAGGGAAGACUAAGGUCGUAUAUGGAGUUAAAUGUGUUUGUUUGGACCAAACGCAGGUCAUGAUUGUGCAACAUGGUCCAGAUGUGAGACAAGCUGUAGGUUUUUUUUUUUUUCUUUCUUUUUUUUAAUUGUGUUUGCCCGAAGCAACAACUGUCUUAGGUUAGCUUAUGCAUUUGGCAAGAACCAUCAUGCAUACCAAAUGUAUUUGAAAAAAAAAAAAAAAAUCAGUGAAACAGUUUGACUCAGGUUUAAUAUGGACUUAAAAAUGCCACAGGUAGUAUUGAGAUUUUAGGAAUGUGGUGCUAAAUGUCAGGCCUGUCUGGGCAUGCCCAGUUCAUGUCCAACUGAGUUAGCUCAGGACCGGUGUUCCAGUAUUUUGGUGCAACCAACUUAACUCAAGCAAAAACUUAAUUGACCUUUAGCGAAAAAACCUGUUCACAGCUAGCCGUGUAUUAUUUCCCUGCUGUGUGGAGAUGCUAUCAUAGUGUGGGUUAACGUUAGCAGCUCUGUCCUGCUCUUUAUUAGAUUUGAAGUUUACGCCCUAGCAACCCCCGGUCAACAUAAUUAAAGACAGCGUUGCGUUUACCAAACACUGUGGUUACGUUUUCUUGUGUAAUGUUAAAAGUGAAAACCUGCAAGUAUUUAAGCUAAACAGCUAAAAGUGAUUAUGGUAGAGCAAAAGACAUGCAUGACUUUGAAUUAUUCUUUAUCACAUUUAUAAUGCUAGGACUAAGCUAGCUCUACACUGCAAUACAACAGGAAUGUCAUUAUGAUUGACACUUGGGCAUUAAUCUUAGUCAGUACAAUUUUCUGUACAGUAUGUUGCCAAUAAAUUGAAUCUUUUUAAUCAUUUUAAAAUGAGUCGCAUAGUCAAGUAAAACAGUCAGAGACAGUGUUUUAAAUCAGAUUAUAGAGCUAGUGUGACCUUGAAUUAGCUUGGUAUCUGUAGAUGCCAAAAUCUGUCUGUGACAUUUAUCAUAUCAGCUGGCAGUGGUUGUCGGCCAUAAAAUAUAAGUCCCUUUUUUUUGUCUGCCUCUGUCUCAAUUCAAAGGUCCACUGUUACAAAAACUACUCCAAAUUUCAAAUGGUAAAUUGUCACCAUUAUCAUAACCUGUUUAUGUGCAGUUCAAGAAUGAAGCUAGAGGGGGGACUGGGUUUAGUCUGCCUCGUUGUCAUUGUUCCUACACUUAUGUUGCAUACCAUCUAAUCUUUUUUUUUUUUUUUUUUUUUUUGCUGGAUUAAAAAAUACCUUCCGUUUUAGCAAUGCAGACUGCACCCUUGCAUUGUCAAAUGAUGUAUGGGCUGUGCCCUCCCGUGCCUACUGAACUGGUAUCAGUGUUUUACCUGAAAACUGGCUCAGUUCAGCAGGAACAGGAGUGGAGCCCUCUUACUGGCGAGAUCUGUGUCCCACGUUACCUCUCCAAAUCCCAGUGAGCAUGUGGUGAGACAGCCCGGAUUCAUUUCAGUUGCUGCGUUCAAAUGACCACACCCUGCGUAGGAUGUUAUCCCCCCCCCCCGGAUGAAAAUCAAACCCGAGCUCUCCAACCUGUCAGACGACGGCACUGAACCCUGAAGUGUAUGCAAAGCAGUGCAGCUAGAGUCCAAUGACCGUCCCUCUCUUUGCUGAAAAAAUGAAUCAUUCAUAAACAGAUUUACCAUUUUUUGCGUAAUAGGUGCGACCUGGCGUCUCAAGCCACAGUGUGAAUACUGUUACAUACUGAUGCAGUCGAUUUUGUUCUGCUCAGCCUUCAUGUUUAUUUCAGCAUUCUGCCAUCGACAAGGCUGAAAACUCGUCUCUCACGGUUAUGUCUCUCUCUCUCUCUCUGACUCCCUCCCUCUCCUUUUUUUCUGUCUUUCUGUGCUGUCAAAGGCCAGACUGAGACUGGAGUUCAUUGUGAGGUAAUCCCAGUGAAAUGUCUGCUAUGUCUGUGUAAUUGAUGUCACCCAACAGUCCCCAUUAUCAGUGAUUGGGAAUGUGUGCUAUGCUGCUUCCUCCCCAGCCUCCAGAUAACUCGUAGCCACCAAAGGGAAAGUGCUUCAUCUCAAAGAUAUUCAUACCCACAGGAAAAUGGAAGCUCAUUAGCAAGCAUGAUGAAUCUGCUCUUACCCAGCAACUCCGCUCAUCACGGUUGGCACAAUAAAAUUAUAUUUCUGUUACUUUGGGUUUCUGUGGAUAAAUGGUUCUGCACAGAGGAGAUCACCCGAAGAAUGGUUUGAAAGUUGUUUUUUCAUUGUGUCAGCGGUGCGAUAUUGUCUUCAGGGCAUUGUUCAGCCAGGUGGUACCACUGACAAGUUAGUUAUGAUUUGUGUAAGUAUUUAAUCGAACUGAAUAUGGAAGACAAUGGUGCGUGAAGUGCAUUAUUCUAAAUGUCAGUAAGUUUCCAACCACUUUCAACCGGAGCAUGAUUUAUUUUGAUGUUAUAUAUUUAAUGUAAUAAAGUUUAAAUGAGCCCGAGAAAGAAUUAUAGCACUGCUUUUUUUAAAAUUUUUUUAUUUGGCGUCGUAAGAUAAUAUAAUUUAUCCCUAAGAAGCAAACAUGUCACAGCAGGAAAGACUAAAGGUGGAGAAAAAGAUGAUCAAAACGUGAGAACAUCUCUGAGGUACUGAGAGAGUAUGAAAAGAUGAGUUUAAUUGCACAUAAUUAUCAUAUUGAUGUGGUUGCUGUGUCUUGACCAGUCAGGGUCAAAACUAUCAUUGAGCAGACUGAGGUCAUGAGGUAAACCUGGGGCCUUUAAGAACCUGGGUGGAGUUUAUAUUUGUCAUUUGGAAAUAUGUAAUAGGAUUAUUCCAGUAUUUUUUUUUUUAGUUCAGUAUAUUUUUUUAUUAUAGUUUUUACUACUUUUAGCCUAAUUUUAUAAAUAAUGAAUUCCUUAUUUUCAAAUCUGAAUAUCUCUAGCAGUCUGAAGAGCGCAGCAAAAGCAGAGGCUUUUUUUUUUUUUUAACAGUUUAUUCCUCUUCCUCGUUAAAACCUGUCUGCUACGUUACACACAAUGCAACUCGACUGCCAACAGAGAUUUUUGUUGCUAGAAAUGCUUAAUUUCUGGCUGCUGCUAACAGGGAGGAUGAAACUGGAUACUGGAAAGAUGGUGCACGCUCACUUGAAUGAAGUUUGCUCGCCUGGCACAUAAACAGAAAGAGUUUUCUAGCUUUCACAUUUGCUUCUACGUUGUGCAGUUAGUGUUUCCCCUGCUGGCCCUUCCACUCAGCCCAUAAAACUCUCCUUCCUAGGCUGUGGGGAAGAUUUACAGAUAUAAAACCUCCAUGGAUAAAAUUCAUACUAGAGAGAGAAACAACUGACCUUGUUUGUAGUUUGAUUUGUCCUGUUUUAUAGAUGCCUCUGGGCAAUGUUGUAUCUCUUAAUACAUCCAUGUGCUGCAGAGGUUUGGUAUGAUCUCUUCUGUCUUACGACAGACACCAACAGACUUUUUUGUUUUCAGACUUAGUCUCAGAGCCAACCAACAUUGACUCAAGUGACAUCAUCUGAGGCAGUUUAUUAGAUUUCAUGCGACUUCCUCUGGAGCCACAAAUGGCUUUAUACACAUGCAACAGUACUCCCCACAACCUAUAAAGAGAUUUUGUUGUAUAAAAUCAGUGAAUUGCCCCCUUGAUGAUAAAAAGCUGUUUAUAGGUUGACAAUAUUCUCCCACUUAAAGUCCCACCAAAUAACCAUUUAAAAAGAGUUAAAAGACUUUUGAGCUUCAAGGAGGAAAGUGAAGCUUUGAUGAUGAACUUGACCCAACUAACAAAAAAAGUUAUAAGAAAAAAAAAAAGAAAGAAAUAAUUUUAUCCUGGGUAACUGGGGUCUUGAACUCAUGACCUCAGUGCUGCUUAUUGUCAGUGUUGUAGCAGACAAAUUCCAGUAAACUGCAAAAGGUGAAAAGUUCAACUCUCUAUUUGAGUUUCUUGCAUCCGGUGGCAGGCUGCCUGCCUUCAUACAGUCAAAUCAAAAACAUGACAAUGCACAGUCUCUAGUUUUCAUGAAAAGACACUCACACAUCCACAGAGCCAGAGAUGGGUACCCAGACCAAAGCCUGCAGUUCUCCUUUUAGUCUCCAUAGCAAUGGCAAUAUCCCUUUCAUCUUCAGGCCUCAAAGGCUGACCAGAUUUCAUGAUGUGGCUGCUUUAUUGAGCCUGAUCUGCUUUUGUUGCCCCCUCUGCCAUUCAAUCAGCAUCCGUGCGGUUUUGGCCCGUGGCUGUGAGUUCGCCUUGCGUAAUUUGGUUUAGAGCUGAGCAGGAACAUCUGUUCUACAAAGCCUCAGCUCCUUCCGUUCUUCAGGCCUCAUGGAAAAAAAAAAAAAAAAAACCUGAGGCCAAGGUCCUCCAAACCUGCGAGUCGUGACCUUGAGUCCAAACCCUCUCAAUAAUGAUCUCAGCAGUGAGAGAGGAGUAGUGACAGCUCUUUGAAAUAAAUGCACGGUUGAAAUGUGUGAAGUGACAGUGAUUUAGAAUAUGCUUUACUGAUUUCGAUAUGUACAGUAGGAGAUUUGAAGGUUUGAGACAAAGUGUUUCUUUCAGUCAGCCCACUCACAUGGAACAGAUUUAUGAUGUGAUUACAAAGUACGUACAGUUAUGACAUUAAACAUUGUGUUCUGCCAUUA